UUUGAAGGUCAUACUGCAACAAGGAAACGCGACCUCCAGAUUACAUGCAUACAUUUGUUGUAUUUCUCUUCUGGCCUUUUGCUUUUGGUCGCUGCACUGGCGUGAAAGUGGCUCUAUUGAAGACCAGGAAGUUUUCAUUGAUAAAUACACUGCAGGGGAAAUGAAUCAUUCCGGGGUCAUUUUUCACUCUCUCUGUCUGGCACAUUUAUGCUUUAUCUAAUUAGUAUGAGUGUGAGGUUUACAGAGGUCCUUCUGAGGACACCGGACGACCCCAAAGUCAUGCGCUGUGAAUCCAGAAGCACUAACC
ensembl:lncRNA